rfam:Thermoplasmatales archaeon I-plasma AMDT3_IPLC00004, whole genome shotgun sequence.
GGGCCCGUAGCUCAGCUCGGUAGAGCAUCUGGCUUUUAACCAGGUGGUCGUGGGUUCGAAUCCCACUGGGCCCG